rnacentral:rRNA from 1 species
CCUAUCAGCUUUCGACGGUAUGGUAUUGGCUUACCGUGGCAGUGACGGUUAACGGGGGAUUAGGGUUCGAUUCCGGAGAGGGAGCCUGAGAAACGGCUACCACAUCUAAGGAAGGCAGCAGGCGCGCAAAUUACCCAAUUCUAACAGUUUGAGAGAGGUAGUAACAAGAAAUAACAAUACAAGGCAGUUAAAAUGCUUUGUAAUUGGAAUGAUAGAAAUUUAAACCCUUUUUAAAGUAUCAAUUGGAGGGCAAGUCUGGUGCCAGCAGCCGCGGUAAUUCCAGCUCCAAUAGCGUAUAUUAAAAUUGUUGCAGUUAAAAAGCUCGUAGUUGAAGUUCUGCUAAAAGUAACCGGUCUGCUUUUAAUAAAAGUGGUAUCUUGGUGUGUAUUUAGCAAUGAUGUCCUUUGAAGUGUUUUUUACUUUAUUGUAAUAAAGCAUAUUCAGGACUUUUACUUUGAGAAAAUUAGAGUGUUUCUAGCAGGCUGACGCUUUGAAUACUGCAGCAUGGAAUAAUAAGAUAGGAUUUUAGUUCUACAUUAUUGGUUUUAAGAGCUAAAUUAAUGAUUGAUAGGGACAGUUGGGGGCAUUUGUAUUUAACUGUCAGAGGUGAA